UACCAGCUCUCCGAGUAGUGUGGAUGUUUAUUGGGCCUAAAGCAUCCGUAGCUUGCUAAGCAAGUCCCCUGUUAAAUCCACCGAUUCAAUCGGUGGAUUGCGGGGGAUACUGUUUGGCUAGGGGACGGGAGAGGCCGACGGUAUUUCCGGGGUAGGGGUGAAAUCCUAUAAUCCCGGGAAGACCACCAGUGGCGAAGGCUGUCGGCUAGAACGCGCCCGACGGUGAGGGAUGAAAGCUGGGGGAGCGAACCGGAUUAGAUACCCGGGUAGUCCCAGCUGUAAACGAUGCAGGCUAGGUGUUUGGGCGGCCACGAGCCGCUCUAGUGCCGCAGGGAAGCUGUUAAGCCUGCCGCCUGGGGAGUACGGCCGCAAGGCUAGAAACUUAAAGGAAUUGGGCGGGGGAGCACCACGAAGGGGUGAAGCUUGCGGUUU
rnacentral:rRNA from 1 species